GACGAACGCUGGCGGCGUGCUUAACACAUGCAAGUCGAACGGGAUCCAUGGAGUAGCAAUACUCUGGAAGAUCUAGUGGCGAACGGGUGAGUAACACGUGAGCAACCUGCCCCAAAGACUGGGAUAACCCCGGGAAACCGGAGCUAAUACCGGAUGUCCUCAUUAGAUCGCAUGGUCAUAUGAGGAAAUGAAUUUUCGUCUUGGGGAGGGGCGUCACGGGCUAUCAGUGUUUGGUGGGGUAAGUGGCCUACCAAGACAUCGACGGCUAGCUGGUCUGAGAGGACGAUCAGCCACACUGGGACUGAGACACGGCCCAGACUCCUACGGGAGGCAGCAGUGGGGAAUCUUGCCCAAUGGGCGAAAGCCUGAGGCAGCAACGCCGCGUG
rnacentral:rRNA from 1 species